UUUCCGUAGGUGAACCUGCGGAAGGAUCAUUGUCGAAACCUGCCCAGCAGAACGACCCGCGAACUUGUAUAAACAACCGGGGGCGGGGGGCGUUCUCGCCCCGUGCCCCCGAACGGCGGGGAGACACUCGUGCCUUCUUGCCGAACAACGAACCCCGGCGCGGUCUGCGCCAAGGAACUUCAACUAAAGAGUGCCUCCGGUCGCCUCGGAAACGGCGUGCGUGCCGGGGGCGAAUCUUGUGCAAAACCAUAACGACUCUCGGCAACGGAUAUCUCGGCUCUCGCAUCGAUGAAGACGCAGC
rnacentral:misc_RNA from 1 species